CUGAACCCUCCCUCUUUCUUUCCCUCUUUAUUUCUGAGUUGUGAUAAAUCUGAACCCUCCCUCCUUCUUUCCCCUUCUUUCGAACCCAAUCUUGAACCCUCCUUCUUUCCCCGUAGACCCCAAAUCUCCCUUUCUUUCUUUCCCUCAUUCUUUCCCCUUCUUUCGAACCCAAUCUUGAACCCUCCUUUCCCCGUAGACCCAAAAUCUCCCUCUCUUUCUUUUCCUCUUUCUUUCCCUCGAUUUACUGAAACAAAAGUAGGAAGGAGAAACUGUUUGAUCAUCAACGACUGGAUUUCACGACAACGAGUCCGCGGCUGGGUUUCACGACAACGAGUCCGACUCGGAAUGAGUCGAAUCGGGUAUUGGGCCGUGGAAGGGACUUUUUAGUUUCUUCUUUUUCUUCUGUAGGUGUAUGGGUAAGGAAGGGACUAAUUAGGAACAAAGAGUGGGGUUAGGAGGCUCAGAGGAUUGGCAUGAUCAACACACUGCAAGAAAUGUGUAAUGCUCGUGGAAACACCUGAACAGCCUGGCAUGUGACUCUGCUUUGUUUUCUCUGGAAAGAAUUUUGUUUCGUUAUGAGUAAUUAUCGAUGUGUUGCAGUUAAUGAUCUUUUUCAUAUGCCACCCAUGCUGGGAAGUUCGAAGAAUGAAUUAUGACACAACCAGAAGGAUAGUUUCUGCUGCUCUGCAAUUGACUGAACCUCUUUUAGUUGAAUUCAUGAAUUUCACGUCUGUAGUU